AAAUAAAAAUAAAAAAUGGAAGGGAGGAGUUGGGGAGAUGGCUGUUGGGUGUGUUCUCUUAGGGGAGAGAAAAAAGAAAAAAAAACAUGGGGAGCAGACCCAAAAAAAGGGCGAGCUAUGUGGGUCUCUUUUUUUUGGCAAAGAAAGGGUUGGAGAGUUGGAAGAAGGAGAAUAGAGGGAGGAGUCCCGCGUGGGAAGGGAAAAUGGGGGGAAAAUGGAGGGAAAAAUAGGGGGAAAUGAAAAGAGAAUUAAAAAAAAAUAAAAUUAAAAAAGGAGAGAUUUUGAUGGUGGCCGGUGGUGUGGGAAGAGA
rnacentral:lncRNA from 1 species